rnacentral:rRNA from 1 species
ACUCCCAAACCCUUUGUGAACCUUACAAAUCGUUGCUUCGGCGGGGAUCGCCCCGGCGCCGAGUUCUUCUCGGGGCCGGAUCCCACGUGCGCCCGCCGAGGGUCUCGAAACUCUUGUUUUUUCAGUGGUAUUCUCUCUGAGUGGCACAAGCAAAAAUAAAAUUAAAACUUUCAACAACGGAUCUCUUGGUUCUGGCAUCGAUGAAGAACGCAGCGAAAUGCGAUAAGUAAUGUGAAUUGCAGAAUUCAGUGAAUCAUCGAAUCUUUGAACGCACAUUGCGCCCGCUAGCAUUCUGGCGGGCAUGCCUGUCCGAGCGUCAUUUCAACCCUCGGGACCCCGCUUCGUGCGGGGCACCGGUGUUGGGGAUCGGCCCCUCCACGCCUCAGGGCGCGGGGCCGGCUCCGAAAUCCAGUGGCGGUCUCGCCGCGGGCUUCCUCUGCGUAGUAACAAACACCUCGCACUGGAUCCCGGCGCGGCCACGCCGAAAAGACGAAUCUUUUUCAAGGUUGACCUCGGAUCAGGUAGGAAUACCCGCUGAACUUAAGCAUAUCAAUAAGCGGAGGAAAAGAAACCAACAGGGAUUGCCCCAGUAACGGCGAGUGAAGCGGCAACAGCUCAAAUUUGAAAUCUGGCCCCUAGGGUCCGAGUUGUAAUUUGUAGAGGAUGCUUUUGGCGCGGUGCCUUCCGAGUUCCCUGGAACGGGACGCCAUAGAGGGUGAGAGCCCCGUCUGGUUGGAUACCUAGCCUCUGUAAAGCUCCUUCGACGAGUCGAGUAGUUUGGGAAUGCUGCUCAAAAUGGGAGGUAUAUGUCUUCUAAAGCUAAAUACCGGCCAGAGACCGAUAGCGCACAAGUAGAGUGAUCGAAAGAUGAAAAGCACUUUGAAAAGAGGGUUAAAUAGUACGUGAAAUUGUUGAAAGGGAAGCGCUUGUGACCAGACUUGGGCUUGGUUGAUCAUCCGGCGUUCUCGCCGGUGCACUCUGCCUGUCCAGGCCAGCAUCAGUUCGCCGUGGGGGAUAAAGGCGGUGGGAAUGUGGCUCCUCGGAGUGUUAUAGCCCGCCGUGCAAUACCCUGGG